rnacentral:lncRNA from 1 species
GGUGGGGGAGGUGGAGGCCAUCAGAAGAUGGAGGAUGUGGGGAGAUGGAGGACAUUGGGGGGAGAUGGAGGUCAUUGGGAUAUGGAGGAUGUAAGGAGAUGGAUAUCAGGAGAUGGAGGACAUCAGGAGAUGGAGAAUGUGGAGAGAUGGAGGACAUCAGGAGAUAGAGGACAUUGGAGGGAGAUGGAGGAUAUCAGGAUAUCAGGAGAUGGAGGACCUGGGGAGAUGGAGGUCAUCAGGAGGUGGAGGACGUGAGGAGAUGGAGGGCAUUGGGGGGAGAUGGAGGUCAUUAGGGAAUGAAAGAUAUCAGGAGAUGGAGGUCACUGGGAAUGGAGGACGUAAGGAGAUGGAGGACAUCAGGAGAUGGAGGAUGCUGGAGGGAGAUGGAGGAUAUCAAGAGAUGGAGGACGUGGGGAGAUGGAGGUCGUUGGAACAUGGAGGAUAUCAGGAGCUGGAGGUCAUUGGGAAAUGGAGGACGUAAGGAGAUGGAGGACAUAAGGAGGUGGAGGAUAGGAGAUGGAGGACAUGGGGAGAUGGAGGUCAUUGGGGGGAGAUGGAGGACAUUGGGGGAUGAAGGAUAUCAGGGGAUGGAGAUCAUUGGGAAAUGGAGGACGUAAGUAGAUGGAGGACAUAAGGAGGUGGAGGACGUGGGGAGAUGGAGGUCGUUGGAACAUGGAGGAUAUCAGGAGCUGGAGGUCAUUGGGAAAUGGAGGACAUCAGGAGGUGGAGGACAUUGGAGGGAGAUGGAGGAUAUCAAGAGAUGGAGGACAUGGGGAGAUGGAGGUCAUUGUGGGGAGAUGGAGGUCAUUGGGGGAUGAAGGAUAUCAGGAGAUGGAGGUCACUGGGAAAUGGAGGACUUAAGGAGAUGGAGGAUAUCAGGAGAUGGAGGAUGCUGGAGGGAGAUGGAGGAUAUCAAGAGAUGGAGGACGUGGGGAGAUGAAGGACAUUGGGACGUGGAGGAUAUCAGGAGCUGGAGGUCACUGGGAAAUGGAGGACGUAAAGAGAUGGAGGACAUCAGGAGGUGGAGGACAUUAAGACAUGGAGGACAUGAGGAGCCAGAGGACAACCGGGGAAAGGCAGAGGAGGCCCGGGCGCCGUGG